GUUACUUUUAAAGUUAGCUUGUUAGCUAGCUAAUACAACAUUACAAGCUGAUGCUAAGCAUUGUUAAGAUAUAUUAACCACACCAGACUGACUGUUAUUUUGAGUGUUAACAAUACAUUAUUUUCCCGACAGUCAAGAGUGGCGAGACAGUCAGUGUGAGAGCUAAGUCUUUUCACUCAAUGCGAAAAAACGAGGCACCUUACAACAUUCAGGUGGAGCUGUCCUUCGAGGAGCCAUUCAUUGGCAAGACCACCUGCAACUGUAAAGCUGGCUUGGGACAGUGCAAUCACCUAAUAGGACUGCUCUACACGCUGGCCCACUAUAUAAAAAUGGGGUAUGCAUCUGUCCCCCCAACUGCAAGCAAAACAUCUCUACCUCAAGCCUGGCAUGUUCCAUCAAGGACAUUAGGUCUCACCCCAAGAGCAGUUAGCACUGUGACAGUAUCCAAAGUUAAACCACCAUUGGCUAAUGCACCACCAAAGAAAAAACAGCGCUCUACUGAGGGGAUUGUCUCUAAUUUGUAUUGUCCUGUGCCACUUCCAUUACCAAGUGCUGAAUUUGCAGAGACUCUUCAUAGCAACCUGGCUAAAAUCGGCAGUAAGAGCCAGAUGUUAAAGUUACUGGAAGCAAACUGUAAGCAGCCUGCUGAUCUGGUCUCCACAGAAUUUGGGGACCUUCCCCGGGGUUCUGUAUUAACUUACCAAACUCAACGUCCACUGUCCAUUUUCAGUGAAAAUGACCCUGAACUUCCUCUACCUCCACAGCCAUGCUCAUUUAGCACUGCUCUAGAUGAUACUGAAACAUUCUUCUAUGGUGGCCUGGCUGUCACACUGUCUGAUGCAAAGCAUCUAGAGAUGGAAACCAGAGGACAAAGCAGUAGCAAGACCUGGCAUCAAGUACGAGCCAAACGCCUGACAUCAUCAUCAUUCAAAAGAAUCUGCUCCAGGGUGAGAGACUUUGACAGUUUGGCAGCCAACAUGAAGGAGAAACAGUUGACAUAAACUAAAACAAUGAAGAGAGGCCUUGAAAUGGAGCCAGUUGCUGCUGCUGAAUACAAGGAAAUCACUGGCAAUGAAAUCUACCCCUGCGGGUUUGUAAUUAACCCCCAUGCCCCACAUCUGGGGACCUCACCUGAUAGGAAAAUCGCACAGAUUGUCAGUCCGUCCCUGACUGGAGUCCGGGGAGUCAAGGGAGGAGUGGCUGAACACAGGAACGGAGGCAGGGCGGAACAGGGAGCCGCGAGGAGGGGACCGUAUGGUGAAGCCAGCUGACUGGAGGUAGCGGAGCGAAAUGGAGGAAAUAACUGUAAGAGGAAACACAGAGUUAGCACAGGCAAGGACAGGUAAGUACAAAAUGAGCCUCUGAGAGCUUGUACGGCGUUUCACCCGGGUGACUGAAGCAACGAUCAAGCGAAGAUGAUGAGUGAAUCUGAAUUUGAAUUUGAGUCACGGCUCCGCACCAUGGAAUCAGAAUCGUAUGCUUCCGUAGCUAGCCAGCACCAU